rfam:Salmo salar isolate Sally breed double haploid chromosome ssa12, whole genome shotgun sequence.
UGUAUUCACUACUGUAAGUCACUAUGGGUAAGAGCGUCUGCUAAAUGACUAAAA